CGUGGGGGAGUCGAGGCGGCGUUGGGAGGCGGGGGGAGUCGAGGCUGCCGGGGCGUCGGGGUGGUCACCCGAGGCGGCGGCGGCGGCCUUGCGGCCGGUGCAGAGGGCGAGGGUGAGAGGGAGGUGGAGGGGCAGGGGCCGGUGGGCCGCCUGCCCAGCUAGGCCGGCCCACCAGCGGCCAUUGUUUUAUUUUUUUUAUUUUUUAUUUUUGUUAUUUGAUGUAUAUGAUGUAUAAUUGUCCUAAAUAAUUAUUAAUUGUUCUAAAUAAAUAUAUAUGAUGUAUUAUUAAUUAUUAAUUGUUCUAAAUAAUUAUUAAUUGUCCUAAAUAAUUAUUAAUUAUUAAUUGUCCUAAAUAAAUGUAUAUGAUGUUUUAUUUUUCUUAUAUACAUUUUGCAUAUCCUAAAUAAUUAUUUACAAUGCAAUUGUAUAUAUAUAUAUAUGUAUGUCAAUGCUAAGUAAUUAGUAUUUCUUUCUUUAUAAUGCAACUAUUUAUAAUGCAGUUAUUUACAAUGCAAUUAUGUAUGUAUGUAUGUAUGUAUGUAUGUAUGUAUGUAUGUAUGUAUGUAUGUAUGUAUGUAUGUAUGUAUGUAUGUAUGUAUGUAUGUAUGUAUGUAUGUAUGUAUGUAUG
rnacentral:lncRNA from 1 species